GCCUGCUGCUGGGCGCCAAGACGGCGGAGCUGCAGGGCCGGCUGGCCGCGCUGGAGGAGCGGGGCGCCGCCGGCCAGGGGCCGCUGCUGGACGCGCUGCAGCCCCGCGUGGAGCAGCUGUUCCGCGAGAAACUGGGCGAAGGACUCGCGAAGCUGCGGACGGCGCGAGAGGCCCCCCAAGACUGCGUGUGCCCCCCAGGCAUUCCCUAUUGCUGAGGGUUGGAGGUGAAUGGUGGAGAGCAGAGGGGCUCUG
rnacentral:lncRNA from 1 species